UACGGGGGAGCAAGCGUUGUUCGGAAUCACUGGGCGUAAAGGGUGCGUAGGCGGGUCUUUAAGUCAGGGUGAAAUCCGUGGAGCUCAACCGUCCAGCAACUGCCUUUGAUACUGAGGAUCUUGAGUUCGGGAGAGGUGAGUGGAACUGCGAGUGUAGAGGUGAAAUUCGUAGAUAUCGAGAGGAACACCGGUGGCGAAGGCGGCCGAACUGACGA
rnacentral:rRNA from 1 species